rnacentral:rRNA from 1 species
CCUACGGGAGGCAGCAGUGAGGAAUAUUGGUCAAUGGGCGCGAGCCUGAACCAGCCAAGCCGCGUGAAGGAUGACGGCCCCACGGGUUGUAAACUUCUUUUAUAAAGGAAUAAAGUGAGGCACGUGUGCCUUUUCGUGUGUACUUUAUGAAUAAGGAUCGGCUAACUCCGUGCCAGCAGCCGCGGUAAUACGGAGGAUGCGAGCGUUAUCCGGAUUUAUUGGGUUUAAAGGGUGCGUAGGCGGAAUGUCAAGUCAGCGGUAAAAGCGCGGGGCUCAACCCCGCUGCGCCGUUGAAACUGGCGUUCUUGAGAUGUCGAGAGGUAUGCGGAAUGCGUAGUGUAGCGGUGAAAUGCAUAGAUAUCGCGCAGAACUCCGAUUGCGAAGGCAGCAUACCGGCGCCCAACUGACGCUGAAGCACGAAAGCGUGGGUAUCGAACAGGAUUAGAUACCCGGGUAGUC